GAUGAACGCUGGCGGCGUGCCUAAUACAUGCAAGUCGAGCGAACGGACGAGAAGCUUGCUUCUCUGAUGUUAGCGGCGGACGGGUGAGUAACACGUGGAUAACCUACCUAUAAGACUGGGAUAACUUCGGGAAACCGGAGCUAAUACCGGAUAAUAUUUUGAACCGCAUGGUUCAAAAGUGAAAGACGGUCUUGCUGUCACUUAUAGAUGGAUCCGCGCUGCAUUAGCUAGUUGGUAAGGUAACGGCUUACCAAGGCAACGAUGCAUAGCCGACCUGAGAGGGUGAUCGGCCACACUGGAACUGAGACACGGUCCAGACUCCUACGGGAGGCAGCAGUAGGGAAUCUUCCGCAAUGGGCGAAAGCCUGACGGAGCAACGCCGCGUGAGUGAUGAAGGUCUUCGGAUCGUAAAACUCUGUUAUUAGGGAAGAACAUAUGUGUAAGUAACUGUGCACAUCUUGACGGUACCUAAUCAGAAAGCCGCGGCUAACUACGUGCCAGCAGCCGCGGUAAUACGUAGGUGGCAAGCGUUAUCCGGAAUUAUUGGGCGUAAAGCGCGCGUAGGCGGUUUUUUAAGUCUGAUGUGAAAGCCCACGGCUCAACCGUGGAGGGUCAUUGGAAACUGGAAAACUUGAGUGCAGAAGAGGAAAGUGGAAUUCCAUGUGUAGCGGUGAAAUGCGCAGAGAUAUGGAGGAACACCAGUGGCGAAGGCGACUUUCUGGUCUGUAACUGACGCUGAUGUGCGAAAGCGUGGGGAUCAAACAGGAUUAGAUACCCUGGUAGUCCACGCCGUAAACGAUGAGUGCUAAGUGUUAGGGGGUUUCCGCCCCUUAGUGCUGCAGCUAACGCAUUAAGCACUCCGCCUGGGGAGUACGACCGCAAGGUUGAAACUCAAAGGAAUUGACGGGGACCCGCACAAGCGGUGGAGCAUGUGGUUUAAUUCGAAGCAACGCGAAGAACCUUACCAAAUCUUGACAUCCUUUGACAACUCUAGAGAUAGAGCUUUCCCCUUCGGGGGACAAAGUGACAGGUGGUGCAUGGUUGUCGUCAGCUCGUGUCGUGAGAUGUUGGGUUAAGUCCCGCAACGAGCGCAACCCUUAAGCUUAGUUGCCAUCAUUAAGUUGGGCACUCUAAGUUGACUGCCGGUGACAAACCGGAGGAAGGUGGGGAUGACGUCAAAUCAUCAUGCCCCUUAUGAUUUGGGCUACACACGUGCUACAAUGGACAAUACAAAGGGCAGCGAAACCGCGAGGUCAAGCAAAUCCCAUAAAGUUGUUCUCAGUUCGGAUUGUAGUCUGCAACUCGACUACAUGAAGCUGGAAUCGCUAGUAAUCGUAGAUCAGCAUGCUACGGUGAAUACGUUCCCGGGUCU
rnacentral:rRNA from 1 species